rnacentral:rRNA from 1 species
GACGAACGCUGGCGGCGUGCCUAAUACAUGCAAGUAGAACGCACAGUUUAUACCGUAGCUUGCUCCACCAUAGACUGUGAGUUGCGAACGGGUGAGUAACGCGUAGGUAACCUGCCUGGUAGCGGGGGAUAACUAUUGGAAACGAUAGCUAAUACCGCAUAAUAUUGAUUAUUGCAUGAUAAUUAAUUGAAAGGUGCAAUUGCACCACUACCAGAUGGACCUGCGUUGUAUUAGCUAGUAGGUGAGGUAACGGCUCACCUAGGCGACGAGACAUAGCCGACCUGAGAGGGUGAUAGGCCAAACUGGGACUGAGACACGGCCCAUAAUCCUACGGGAGGCAGCAGUAGGGAAUCUUCGGCAAUGGACGAAAGUCUGAACGAGCAACGCCGCGUGAGUGAAGAAGGUUGUCGGAUCGUAAAGCUCUGUUGUAAGAGAAGAACGGGUGUGAGAGUGGAAAGUUCACACUGUGACGGUAUCUUACCAGAAAGGGACGGCUAACUACGUG